AUAUGUACCUGGCGUUAUCAGUCUAGGUUGGCCACGGUGGAUGUGUUCAAAUCAUAGAUUUAUUCAAAUGUAUUCUGCUCCACUAGGUGGCAUAACCGGGACGGGUGGUACGGGAAACUGGGAGAAGAAGAGAAAAUUGUUGCUUGCUUCCAGCCAUGAACUUACUCUGCCUGCGAUGUAUUUUUUUUAUCCCGUGUUUAUUUUCUUCAGUUAAGUUGUGAACUUAAACCAAACCUCUGCAUUGGCAAAAUACUAGCACCUUUAUGCACCGUUUCUUCAUUGGUGGCUGGGCACCGCGGAUGGCAUCCCCUUCUUCGUGGCAUGGCACAGGUAAGAUAAUGCUGCUAACCUAACUUACUACAAGACGCACGGCACAUUUUGUGUCAGGCAUUUCGCAAAGUGGUGUUUUGAAUAGCAUAUCUUUUCAUCUCAGAUGUAUCUUGUAGGUUAACUUGGAUUCACUCGUUUCGUUUCAUCCAAGUGGAUUUCAUUGUUGUUUCAGCCACGUCUGCACAAUGUUCAUCAGUCAGGUGGUCAGCACCCAAACUAAAACCAUGAGGCAUGGUGGCCAGGAUGACGUCCAAGAAUUGCAUCCCAGCACCACAGAUGGGGGAGCCAACAUGAAGAGGUGUCCAGAGAGGCUUCUUUCGCUUGGGCUUUGCAGCAGCACCAGGACCUCACCAUCAGUGAUGCUGGUCCCCUCAUCCAUCGGGCCUACCCUUACAUUCCUCCCCUGAUACACUGAUCACCUGUACCAGUUGUUGGAGUUUUCAGCAGGGCUCUAAAUUAUUUUUAAUCACUAGUAGCCAAAAUGGCUAGUAUGUUAAUCUCCGGUACAUUAAAUAAUGGG